UUCAGGGCAUUCAAAAACUCCAACACUGAACAAGCUAGCUGUAACACUGUAUCGUUCCUGUCACGAUCAUCAGUUAUACACUCAACAUGAAGACCGUGUUAAUAGUAGUUUUGGCGGCGGUCAUUGUCGUACUCUGUCGCGGCCAAUGCAUGAUACGUCCAGCUCACUGUAAACCUGGGGACACUUACCAAGACGAUUGCUAUCAAUGCACUUAUAAUGGUGGAGAAUACGAAAGCUGUUGCUCCCUGGCUCCAAGGCCUACUCACUAUCCGGCUGAGUGUGAGGUGGAAUUUCACAAAGACAGGUGUGAAUACACAGUCACCAACCCUACCACAGGGGAACCAUGUCCUAUCUACGGUGGUGUGGGAAGAAAAUAACUCAUCAAAAGUUAUACGUUCAAUGGUAUUUCAAAUGACCAAUUGCGGCAUGUCCUUAUAUUCUAAA